AGUUUGAUCCUGGCUCAGGAUUUUCGCUGGCGGCGUGCUUAACACAUGCAAGUCGAACGGGAAUUACUUUAUUGAAACUUCGGUCGAUUUAAUUUAAUUCUAGUGGCGGACGGGUGAGUAACGCGUGGGUAACCUGCCUUAUACAGGGGGAUAACUGUCAGAAAUGGCUGCUAAUACCGUAUAAGCGCACAGAGCUGCAUGGCUCAGUGUGAAAAACUCUGGUGGUAUAAGAUGGACCCGCUUUUGGAUUAGCUAUUUGGUGGGGCAACGGCCCACCAAGGCGACGAUCCAUAGCCGGCCUGAGAGGGGUGAACGGCCACAUUGGGACUGAGACACGGCCCAGACUCUUACGGAAGGCAGCAGUGGGGAAUAUUGCACAAUGGGGGAAACCCUGAUGCAGCGACGCCGCGUGAAGGAAGAAGUAUCUCGGUAUGUAAACUUCUAUCAGCAGGGAAGAUAGUGACGGUACCUGACUAAGAAGCCCCGGCUAACUACGUGCCAGCAGCCGCGGUAAUACGUAGGGGGCAAGCGUUAUCCGGAUUUACUGGGUGUAAAGGGAGCGUAGACGGUGUGGCAAGUCUGAUGUGAAAGGCAUGGGCUCAACCUGUGGACUGCAUUGGAAACUGUCAUACUUGAGUGCCGGAGGGGUAAGCGGAAUUCCUAGUGUAGCGGUGAAAUGCGUAGAUAUUAGGAGGAACACCAGUGGCGAAGGCGGCUUACUGGACGGUAACUGACGUUGAGGCUCGAAAGCGUGGGGAGCAAACAGGAUUAGAUACCCUGGUAGUCCACGCCGUAAACGAUGAA
rnacentral:rRNA from 1 species